rnacentral:rRNA from 1 species
GAUGAACGCUGGCUACAGGCUUAACACAUGCAAGUCGAGGGGAAACGACGGGGAAGCUUGCUUCCCCGGGCGUCGACCGGCGCACGGGUGAGUAACGCGUAUCCAACCUGCCUCUGACUGAGGGAUAACCCGUCGAAAGUCGGCCUAAUACCUCAUGGCAUCGUCUGCGGGCAUCCAACGACGAUUAAAGAUUUCAUCGGUCAGAGAUGGGGAUGCGUCUGAUUAGCUCGUUGGCGGGGUAACGGCCCACCAAGGCGACGAUCAGUAGGGGUUCUGGGAGGAAGGGCCCCCACAUUGGAGCCGAGCCCCGGUCCACAGUCCUACGUGAGGCAGCAGUCACGCAUAUUGGUCAACGGGCCCGACCCUGAACCACCCAAUUAGCGUCCAGGAUGACGGAUCUGUGGGUUGUAACCUGCUUUUAGGCGGGGAUAAAGCGAGGGACGUGUCUUUCAUUGAAGGUACCGCAUGAAUAAGGCCCGGCUAAUUCCGUG